rnacentral:rRNA from 1 species
AUUGAACGCUGGCGGCGUGCCUAACACAUGCAAGUCGAGCGAGCGGCGGACGGGUGAGUAAUGUAUGGGGGUUGCCCGAUAGAUUGGGGUUACGACUGGAAACGUUAGCUAAUACCGCAUACUACCGGAUAGCCCAUAUGGGAUUAGCUAGUAGGUGGGGUAAUGGCUCACCUAGGCGACGAUCCGUAGCUGGUCUGAGAGGAUGAUCGGCGACACGGGGACGGAGACAGGGCCCAGACUCCUACGGAGGCAACAGUGGGGAAUAUUGCACAAUGGGCGCAAGCCUGAUGCAGCCAGGCGGCGUGUAUGAAGAAGGCCCUAGGGUGGUAAAGUACUUUCAGUCGGGAGGCGUUACCGACAGAAGAAGCACCGGCUAACUCCGUGCCAGCAGCCGCGGUAAUAC